UAAGCGGAGGAAAAGAAACUAACAAGGAUUCCCCUAGUAACGGCGAGUGAAGCGGGAAGAGCUCAAAUUUGAAAUCUGGUAGCCUUCGGUUGCCCGAGUUGUAAUCUAGAGAAGUGUUUUCCGUGCCGGCCCAUGUACAAGUCCCUUGGAACAGGGCGUCAUAGAGGGUGAGAAUCCCGUCCUUGACAUGGACCCCCGGUGCUUUGUGAUACACUUUCAACGAGUCGAGUUGUUUGGGAAUGCAGCUCAAAAUGGGUGGUGAAUUCCAUCUAAAGCUAAAUAUUGGCGAGAGACCGAUAGCGAACAAGUACCGUGAGGGAAAGAUGAAAAGCACUUUGGAAAGAGAGUUAAACAGUACGUGAAAUUGUUGAAAGGGAAACGAUUGAAGUCAGUCAUGCUCUUGGGACUUACCUCCCUUGAGUGGGGUCAACAUCAGUUUUGAUCGAUGGAUAAAGGCACGGGGAAGGUAGCACUCUCGGGUGAACUUAUAGCCUCGCGUCAUAUACAUUGAUUGGGACUGAGGAACGCAGCAUGCCUUAUGGCCGGGAUUCGUCCACGUACAUGCU
rnacentral:rRNA from 1 species